AUUGAACGCUGGCGGCGUGCCUAACACAUGCAAGUCGAGCGGUAACAGGUGUAGCAAUACAUGCUGACGAGCGGCGAACGGGUGAGUAAUGCUUCGGAAUCUACCCAAUGGUGGGGAAUAACCAGCCGAAAGGUUGGCUAAUACCGCAUACGUCCCACGGGAGAAAGCAGGGGAUCGCAAGACCUUGCGCCAAUGGAUGAGCCGAAGUCGGAUUAGCUAGUUGGAGGGUAACGGCCUACCAAGGCGACGAUCCGUAGCUGGUCUGAGAGGACGACCAGCCACACUGGGACUGAGACACGGCCCAGACUCCUACGGGAGGCAGCAGUGGGGAAUAUUGGACAAUGGGGGAAACCCGUGAUCCAGCGACGCCGCGUGUGUGAAGAAGGCCUGCGGGGUUGUAAAG
rnacentral:rRNA from 1 species